AUCGAACGCUGGCGGCAGGCCUAACACAUGCAAGUCGAGCGGAGCGGCGGACGGGUGAGUAAUACAUAGGAAUCUGCCUGGCAGUGGGGGAUAACGUUCGGAAACGGACGCUAAUACCGCAUACUAUCAGUUGAGCCUAGGUGGUAUUAGCGAGUUGGUGAGGUAUUGGCUCACCAAGGCUACGAUCCGUACCUGGUCUGAGAGGAUGAUCAGUCACACUGGAACUGAGACACGGUCCAGACUCCUACGGGAGGCAGCAGUAGGGAAUAUUGCGCAAUGGGCGAAAGCCUGAUGCAGCCAUGCCGCGUGUAUGAAGAAGGCUUUCGGGUUGUAAAGUACUUUCAGCAGGGAGGCGUUACCGCAGAGGAAGCACCGGCUAACUCCGUGCCAGCAGCCGCGGUAAUAC
rnacentral:rRNA from 1 species